rnacentral:ncRNA from 1 species
AAGUUUGAUCUUGGCUUUUAUUUUAUUUAUCCUUUAUUUUACAUGUAAGUUUUUGCGUGAACAAUACUAAAAUUUAAAAUUUUAAUAUCAAUUUUUAUUCGCAGUAUUUUGUAUUGAGUAUUAAGGUUACUUAGAAUCGGUGAAAGAAUUAGUUCAGGACAAAUUUGUGCCAGCAUCUGCGGUUAUACAAAUUGUGCAAAUAAAAGUUCUUGGUUUAGUAGUUAAUUGUUUAAAAAAGAGUUAUAAAACAAAUUUUUGGGUGAAAUUUAAUUUUAUUUUAUAUUCUUUGUUUAUUUAUGAAGCUACGAAAUUUAUUUUAAAAACUAGGAUUAGAUACCCUAUUAUUUUAAAUGUUAAAAUUAACCAGGGUAGUAAUAGAUAUGAUCUUGAAACCUAAAAGAUUUGGCGGUGUCUUAGUCUAUUUAGAGGAACCUGUUCCGUGAUCGAUAGUCCACGAUAAAUCUUACUAAUUUUUGUUUAGUUUAUAUACCGUCGUUAUCAGAAUAUUUUAUAAGAAUAUAAUUUUCUUAAAUUUUUAUAAAAAUUUAUUUCAGAUCAAGGUGUAGCUAAUAAUUUAGAGGAAAUGGGUUACAAUAAAUUUAUUUAAUACGAAUGUAAUUUUGAAAAAUUUUACUGAAGGUGGAUUUAAUUGUAAAUUGAUUUAUAUAAAUUAAUUGAUUUUAGCUCUAAGACAUGUACACAUCGCCCGUCGCUCUUUUUAAUUAAAGAUAAGUCGUAACAUAGUAGGUGUACUGGAAAGUGUAUCUAGAAUGC